UAUUAUUCUCAACUUUGGAGUUUGUUACAGAACUCUGAAGCUUUUGGAUAUGGAGGAUGUUGCUGGCGCUUUUAAAAAUAUGCUGGCUCCUCUUAAAUGCAUUAGCAAACAAAAAACUUGUUAAAGGGGUUUGUUGGCUCUGGUUUGAUAAGAAUUAAAUAUCUAUGCCAUUGCUGAUAAAUGAAACUUUGAUUAAUUGUUUUUUGAGCUUCUAAAUUGUGUGACAAACCACACACUUUGAAA
rnacentral:misc_RNA from 1 species